GUCUACGGCCAUGCCACCCUGAAUGUGUCCGAUCUCAUCAGAUCUCAGAAGCUAAGCAGGGUUGGGCCUGGUUAGUACUUGGAUGGGAGACUACCUAGGAAUACCAAGUGCUGUAGGCG
rnacentral:rRNA from 1 species